rnacentral:rRNA from 1 species
UACGAAGGGGGCUAGCGUUGCUCGGAAUCACUGGGCGUAAAGCGCACGUAGGCGGUUUCUUAAGUCGGGGGUGAAAUCCUGGAGCUCAACUCCAGAACUGCCUUCGAUACUGAGAGACUUGAGUCCGGGAGAGGUGAGUGGAACUGCGAGUGUAGAGGUGAAAUUCGUAGAUAUUCGCAAGAACACCAGUGGCGAAGGCGGCUCACUGGCCCGGUACUGACGCUGAGGUGCGAAAGCGUGGGGAGCAAACAGG